ACCCGGGUGGCUCAGUCAGUUAAGCGUCUGACUUCGGCUCAGGGCAUGAUCUCACGGUUCGUGGGUUCGAGCCCCAUGCCGGGCU
rfam:Felis catus isolate Cinnamon breed Abyssinian chromosome D3, whole genome shotgun sequence.